rnacentral:rRNA from 1 species
UACGUAGGGGGCAAGCGUUGUCCGGAUUUAUUGGGCGUAAAGAGCGUGUAGGCGGCUUGGUAGGUCCGCUGUGAAAACUCGAGGCUCAACCCUCGAGAUGUCGGCGGGAAACCGCUUGGCUAGAGUCCGGAAGAGGAGAGUGGAAUUCCCCGGUGUAGCCGGGUGAAAUGCGCAGAUAUCGGGAAGAACACCCUAUGGCGAAGGCAGCUCUCUGGGACGGUACUGACGCUGAGACGCGAAAGCGUGGGGAGCGAACAGGAUAGAU